UAUUUAAAAACAAUUAAAAUGCUUACUUCUGUCUUAGACGGAAUAUGCAUAUUAACAUAAAUUAGUGAAAUUAAAAAAUAGAGUUCGGUCAUGUUCAGUGAGGGAAAUAAACAGGAAGAGGACGGUUUUUUUGUACGAUUCCUAGAAAUGAAGAGGAUUGACCACAUAUAUUUUUUUUAUUUAUAGUACACGCGAUUGAAAUAAAAGGCAUCUUUUUUUGUCGUAAAAACAUUUCUUUUUUCAGUAUUUUCGACUGAACUUUGUAUAAAACAUUCGUCGUCCUACAUCUUCAAAUUCAAAAUGAUGUAUCUGUUGACAAAAAGCGAAAACAGCUGAUUCCGUACGGAAGAUGCGACCAGUUUCGCAUUUUCCUUAAGCAAAUGACGUUUGAAAAAACUUGACGAAACUUGAUGUAAAGCACAUUAUAACGGGUGAUUUUUUUGAGGUUAGGAUUUUCCUAAUGCAUGAUCACGUGGGAUUUCAGACAUGGUGUCAAAGAGAAAGAUGCUCAGUAUGCUUUGACAUUUCAUCAUGAAUAGACUUACUAACGAGCAACGCUUGCAAAUCAUUGAAUUUUAUUACCAAAAUCAGUGUUCGGUUCGAAAUGUGUUUAUCGACAAAUUUUAUUCAGCGAUGAGGCUCAUUUCUGGUUGAAUGGCUACGUAAAUAAGCAAAAUUGCCGCAUUUGGGGUGAAGAGCAACCAGAAGCCGUUCAAGAACUGCCCAUGCAUCCCGAAAAAUGCACUGUUUGGUGUGGUUUGUACGCUGGUGGAAUCAUUGGACCGUAUUUUUUCAAAGAUGCUGUUGGACGCAACGUUACGGUGAAUGGCGAUCGCUAUCGUUCGAUGCUAACAAACUUUUUGUUGCCAAAAAUGGAAGAACUGAACUUGGUUGACAUGUGGUUUCAACAAGAUGGCGCUACAUGCCACACAGCUCGCGAUUCUAUGGCCAUUUUGAGGGAAAACUUCGGACAACAAUUCAUCUCAAGAAAUGGACCCGUAAGUUGGCCACCAAGAUCAUGCGAUUUAACGCCUUUAGACUAUUUUUUGUGGGGCUACGUCAAGUCUAAAGUCUACAGAAAUAAGCCAGCAACUAUUCCAGCUUUGGAAGACAACAUUUCCGAAGAAAUUCGGGCUAUUCCGGCCGAAAUGCUCGAAAAAGUUGCCCAAAAUUGGACUUUCCGAAUGGACCACCUAAGACGCAGCCGCGGUCAACAUUUAAAUGAAAUUAUCUUCAAAAAGUAAAUGUCAUGAACCAAUCUAACGUUUCAAAUAAAGAACCGAUGAGAUUUUGCAAAUUUUAUGCGUUUUUUUUUUUUUAAAAAUUAUCAAGCUCUUAAAAAAUCACCCUUUAUGUUCAUCUUCAGGUGAAGAACUGAUGAAGACAGUUAGUGCUAUGAAGUUUUACACAUAUACAUAGGUUGAUGAUUCGUGCUAUUGAAGACAACAACAUUCUUCGAUGCAGACAACUAUUUCAUCAGUACGUUGUGAAUAUAUGCAACAAAUGGCAUCAACAACAUCGGACCAGAUCUUUUUAUCCCAUUGGUGUGUAAUCCAAACUGGAAUGAAAUUUGCUGUUGUCAGGUCAAACAUCGAUACAUCGCCAAAAAAUCCGUGUUUUGUUCACGGUCAAUUAUAUGUUGCAUGUUCCAGAGUUGAAAAACCAUCGAAUUUGUUUCUUUAUACGCCUCAAGGAUUAAGCAAAAAUAUUGUACAUUCAAUGGCAUUACGAUAAACUAACUUUAUGUAAAUUAAAAUAUAUAUAUAUGUUACGAAGUAAAAUAGCUUGAUUGUAAUUAAAACGACUUAAAUUUUUACUAAAUACAGCUUCUAGAUUUAAUUUCACUAAUAGAGUAUACACAUACUCACAGGCUAUGGGUUGGUUGAAUUGUGAUGUAUGUAUG